rnacentral:rRNA from 1 species
GGUCGAGCUUGCUCACAGGCACAUCAUAUCCAUAACACCUGUGCACUUGUCGGAUGGCUUAGUGAAGACCGCAAGGUUGAAUCUAUCCAUCUACUUUACAUAACAAUUCUGUAACAAAUGUAGUCUUAUUAUAACAUAAUAAAACUUUCAACAACGGAUCUCUUGGCUCUCGCAUCGAUGAAGAACGCAGCGAAAUGCGAUAAGUAAUGUGAAUUGCAGAAUUCAGUGAAUCAUCGAAUCUUUGAACGCACCUUGCGCUCCUUGGUAUUCCGAGGAGCAUGCCUGUUUGAGUGUCAUGAAAACCCUCAACCCUAGAUUGGUUAAAACCUUUCUUUGGUUUGGAUUUGGACGUUUGCCGAUGAUAAGUCGGCUCGUCUUAAAAGUAAUAGCUGGAUCUGUCUCGCGACAUGGUUUGACUUGGCGUAAUAAGUAUUUCGCUAAGGACAUCUUCGGAUGGCCGCGUUGCAGGACUAAAGACCGCUUUCUAAUCCAUUGAUCUUCGGAUUAAUACUCUUGACAUCUGGCCUCAAAUCAGGUAGGACUACCCGCUGAACUUAAGCUAUCAUA